UGGGGAAUAUUGCACAAUGGAGGAAACUCUGAUGCAGCGACGCCGCGUGAGGGAAGAAGGUUUUCGGAUUGUAAACCUCUGUCUUCGGUGACGAAAAUGACGGUAGCCGAGGAGGAAGCCACGGCUAACUACGUGCCAGCAGCCGCGGUAAUACGUAGGUGGCAAGCGUUGUCCGGAAUUACUGGGUGUAAAGGGAGCGUAGGCGGGAAGGCAAGUUGAUUGUCUAAACUAUGGGCUCAACCCAUAGUCGCGAUCAAAACUACUUUUCUUGAGUGAAGUAGAGGUAAGCGGAAUUCCUAGUGUAGCGGUGAAAUGCGUAAAUAUUAGGAGGAACACCAGUGGCGAAGGCGGCUUACUGGGCUUUAACUGACGCUGAGGCUCGAAAGCGUGGGUAGCAAACAGG
rnacentral:rRNA from 1 species